rnacentral:lncRNA from 1 species
GGAAAACCCCUCAAAACAUCUGAAACCUCAGUUUCCCAUUUUUUAAAUCUGAGGCAGAUCAACCCAUCAGAAGAAUAAAAACCCGAUGACCAAAUGGUAAAUAACUAAAACAAUGAGGUCCAAAUCAGUAUUUUUUUGCCGAUCAACAUCCAUCUUUACCGGAGCUCUUCAGCAUCAACCCGCCGCCGCACUCGAACAGAGCCUUCGCUCAUUUUUUUAAUCUGAGGCAGAUCAACCCAUCAGAAGAAUAAAAUCCGAUGACCAGAUGGUGAAAUAACUAAAACAACGAGGUCCAUUUCAGUAAUUUUUCGCCGAUCAACAUCCAUCUUUACCGGAGCUCUUCACCAUCAACCCGCCGCCGCACUCGAACAGAGCCUUCGCCGUCAUCUCCCUCUCGAACCG